rnacentral:rRNA from 1 species
GACGAACGCUGGCGGCGUGCUUAACACAUGCAAGUCGAACGGUGAAGCGCCUUCCUUUUUGGUGGGUGUGGAUGAGUGGCGAACGGGUGAGUAACACGUGAGUAACCUGCCCCCUUCUGCUGGAUAACCGCAUGAAAGUGUGGCUAAUACGGGAUAUUCUGGGUCUGUCGCAUGAUGGGUCUGGGAAAGAUAUUGUUUCGGUGGGGGAUGGGCUCGCGGCCUAUCAGCUUGUUGGUGGGGUGAUGGCCUACCAAGGCGGUGACGGGUAGCCGGCCUGAGAGGGUGGACGGUCACACUGGGACUGAGACACGGCCCAGACUCCUACGGGAGGCAGCAGUGGGGAAUAUUGCACAAUGGGCGCAAGCCUGAUGCAGCGACGCCGCGUGAGGGAUGGAGGCCUUCGGGUUGUGAACCUCUUUCGCCAGUGAAGCAGGCCUGCCUCGUUUGUGGGUGGGUUGACGGUAGCUGGAUAAGAAGCGCCGGCUAACUACGUG